rnacentral:rRNA from 1 species
AUGAACGCUGGCGGCGUGCCUAAUACAUGCAAGUCGAGCGAACGGACGAGAAGCUUGCUUCUCUGAUGUUAGCGGCGGACGGGUGAGUAACACGUGGAUAACCUACCUAUAAGACUGGGAUAACUUCGGGAAACCGGAGCUAAUACCGGAUGAUAUUUUGAACCGCAUGGUUCAAAAGAGAAAGACGGUCUUGCUGUCACUUAUAGAUGGAUCCGCGCUGCAUUAGCUAGUUGGUAAGGUAACGGCUUACCAAGGCAACGAUGCAUAGCCGACCUGAGAGGGUGAUCGGCCACACUGGAACUGAGACACGGUCCAGACUCCUACGGGAGGCAGCAGUAGGGAAUCUUCCGCAAUGGGCGAAAGCCUGACGGAGCAACGCCGCGUGAGUGAUGAAGGUCUUCGGAUCGUAAAACUCUGUUAUUAGGGAAGAACAUAUGUGUAAGUAACUGUGCACAUCUUGACGGUACCUAAUCAGAAAGCCACGGCUAACUACGUG